AAGUACGUUGUAUAAACAGAUUUUGUAAUUUUGAAAACUGAGCUACAUCCCUCUAAUCUCUCGCCCAAAUCAGGAAAGGGAUUUUUUAAAAAUCCCUAUAAUCUCUCCCUUUAACCUCUCAGCUCACGUCAUUAAAGAAAAAUAACCAAAUAAAAUUACAAAUUGAUUACAGUUUCCAAAACAAAAUCCCUACAAUCUCUCACCUCUCACGUCAGGGAAAAAAAUCAAACAAAAUUAUAAAUUGAUUACAUUUUCUAAAACUACUAAUUAUCUUUUUCUCAUUCAUCAAAUCAUUGUAAACUGAGUUCCAUUAGAGAGUUCGUUGAUAGCAAGCUCCACCACCGCCAAUACAGGUUUUACGAUUUGAAGUUCACCACGCAUACAAUUACCAAUGACACAAGUUUCAUCCCGGGAAGAAUGUUGGAAUUGGCAAGGACCAUACAAUCUUUGCUCUAAUUGAUGGAUUAGUGAAAUUUGAGAAGUAUGGUCCUGACAAGAAAAAGGUGAGUGUUUAUCCACGAGAAAUAUAGCCUGAAAACCCCAACAGCUACAAAGCAAGAAGAGAAGGAUAUUCUUUUCAAUCACACCUAAUCCUGGCAUCUAAUGCCACUGAUAAUGCUGAUGAAAGUGUAAUCUGCUGAUAACCAAGUUUUUUUUAAAAGAUUUGCAUUCUACUUCCCUCUUUUUGGCUUGGUUUUCCAUCUAUCUUUUGUAACUAAGUUUUUCACCUCCUUUAAAGUUUACUUCCAAAGUCUAUGUAGAUCAUUUGCACCAAAAGCGAAUCUGUACUAUUUGUGAUAUAUAGCUAGCUAAAAUUAGUGAAAUCAAUCCUUAAACUAAACCCUAAAUAACCAACAAUUUUCACAAACCAGUAAUUUUCACAAACCAGUAAUUUUCUUAAACAAACCCUAUGAAAACCCAAUAAUUUUACCAAACACUUAAAGAUAAUGAGUAUACACCAUGAAACAAUCGAAAAAAAAAACAUAUAAAAUCAAAUGCAAAGUAUUU